rnacentral:rRNA from 1 species
UCACACAAGAGACCCAAAUUAAUAGUAUGCGGCGUAAAGAGUGGACCCAUGAUUAUCAAAGCAAUUAAGGCCGAGACGUAGCUAGGCUGUCAUAAGCUCAAGCUACACUUAAAACCGCCCUAAAAAUGACCUUAAUACCCACGAUAGAUUAAACUCCACGAAAGCCAGGGCACAAACUGGGAUUAGAUACCCCACUAUGCCUGGCCCUAAAUCUUGAUGCUCACCCUACUAAAGCAUCCGCCCGAGAACUACGAGCGCAAACGCUUAAAACUCUAAGGACUUGGCGGUGCCCCAAACCCACCUAGAGGAGCCUGUCCUAUAAUCGACAAUCCACGAUACACCCGACCACUUCUUGCCAAAACAGCUUACAUACCGCCGUCACCAGCCCACCUUCACUGAAAGGACAAUAGUGGGCCCAAUUGCCCCCACCCGCCAACAAGACAGGUCAAGGUAUAGCCCAUGAAGUGGAAGAGAUGGGCUACAUUUUCUACCUUAGAAAACCAUUCAAACGGAAGGGGGCAUGAAACCUUGCCCCCCGAAGGCGGAUUUAGCAGUAAAGCAGGACAAUAAAGCCCCCUUUAAACCGGCUCUGAGGCACGUACAUACCGCCCGUCACCCUCCUCACCAAGCCCCUUACACCCCAUAAAUAAUAUGCCCGGCUACCAAAGAUGAGGUAAGUCGUAACAAGGUAAGUGUACCGG